rnacentral:lncRNA from 1 species
UAUUGGGAUCCCCUAUGAUAAGAUCCUUAGGGUGGUCUUUCUGAAUUCUGAUAGAUGGCAUUUUGGUGGUUGCAUCUACUUCACAUUCAGGAGGAGGUUCCUGUACUUCUUCAGACUUGACUGGAAUGUCUGUUGAACUGUCAAGGAAUGUUUCAACAUCCUCUAUGACAUCGAUUCCUUCCUCUUUAUCAUCCACAAUAACAUUUAUGGAUUCCAUCAGGACAUUGGUCCUGUAGUUGAACACUCUGUAAGCUCUGUUGUUAGUGGAGUAUCCUAGAAAUAUACCCUCAUCACUUUUGGG